GCCACAGCCAUGGCUGCUAUCUUUCUAGCUCCUGGCCCCUUGGGGGAUGGCCUGUCUCCUGAAACCUCCAGGCUGGAGAAACAGGUCUGCUCUCAUCAACAGACAGCUGGGUCUGCCACACAGGGAGCUCAGUCGGCCGGCUUUCAUUUCUGUCUCACUAGAGAGACAGACAGCUGGGGACAAAGGCUGAGGGGCCUAUGGCGGGAAAUACGGCUUGUGCGGGCUGCGCUGAGGAAAGCGCCACACAGGUGGUGUGACCAACCCAGGGUGGGACCAGGACAAGAGGAGCCAUUCGUGGAGGACCCUGGGGGUGUGGGGUGCUGGAGCAGAGGCCAGGGCAGGUGGAAGGGCCCCGCUAUGAGAUGGGCUUCUCCCUGAGGCAGGAAGUAGGCACCAGGAGGCAGACCUGGGACAGGAGGAGGAUGGGAUUGGAAGGGGAAGGAAAAGCAGAGGAAUGGUGGCCUGGGCCUUGGAGGUGCAGCUGAGGAUGUGGGAUGGACCCGGAUGUAUUUAGAAAGUGAAACUAGAAGUCUGGAUGGACUCCUAAUGGAAAUUAGGAAAUGGAAGUGAAAUUAAGAGCCUGGAUGGGCUCACGUCAUAGGGAAGAGUAAAGGUGGGGAUGGUGGAACCUGGCUGAUGGAGAUGGGCAUAUGAUAAGUGAAAGAGACUGUGUCCAGGAGGGCAGCCGGACACAGAGUUGAGGGCUCUGGGGAGAGAUCUGGGCUGGGACAAGCCUGAGAGCCCUCAGCAAAUAUGGAAAUGGAGUCUGUGGACUGACUUCCCAGGGGCAGGUGCGUGGGGCUGGCCAUGGUGUCCACUUGGAAAUGAAGAGGUCUAGCCAAGUGGGGUCACCCUGCUGUGGGGGCUGCCAACCCUCACUCAGGCUGAGAGCUGGGAGGAAGGCAGCAGGCCCUGCCAGGUGCUGCCAGAUCUGUGAGGUGAGAGAAGUUGCAAACUGGGUUUUAUUGGAAUAAUCUUGAUUUUUCAGUGCUGGCCAACACAGGAAACUUUUUAAUGGUGUGGACCAAGUCAAACAUAUCUGCAGACCACUUUUAGGCUAAGGAGCAGAGGGAGCAGUUAAAGGCUGGGCAGGUGACCAAGAGUCUGGAAGGAAUGGCCAGAGAGGUCAUAAAUGCUCAUGGGACACGGCCACCUCCCCAGCAGACCGGGAGCUUCCUGAAAGAAGGGCCUGCCUUGAGGGCGUGGUGGGUCCUGGAGCUGCACCAGCAGGAGCUCAAGAAAUGGGACCUCCCUGACCAGGUCAGGAGGGAGCCGCCUCCCCUGAAGCUGGCUCCUGUGUGUCCUGACUGCUCAGCCUGACCUGUGGAUUCAGUGGAUUUUGAAGAUGUGAGGACCGGACGGGACCUAAUUGUGACAAGGAGACUGGGCUGCAGAACCAGGGCAGAUGGAGGGAGCAGAGAGGUUUGCAGGCUGAUCCAGCAAGGAGGGGAAGUUGCCUGGGGAGGUUUGGAGUCCAGAUGGGAGAGAAAGAGGUGGUCGGUCACAGGCUGGCCACUCCUGGGCAGGCACGGGACAUUGACAGAGAGAAGCUCUACAUCAGGGUCCUGUGGGUUACUGGUAUCUGUGGUGACCUGACCUGCAGAUGCCUCAGCACAGGAAGGGAAGACUUGGACUGCUCAGAGGCCGAGCUAAGCCAAAGCUGCUCUCCCACACACCUCCCUGAGGAGUCGGGGACCAGCUGAUCUGCUAUCCCUUGGGGAGGGCAACUGCAGGAAUAGGGCCUGGCCAGGCCUGUCCUGUUUGGUGUUGAAGAUUGGGGGGAGGUUCCCAGCAGCUGCCCUGGGGAAGCUGCAAUGGGCGGGACCUCUGCAACAGGCACCAGGUGGCACUGGCACCAGGGUAGCCACCCCACUUCCCACUUCCUUGGGAAAUGGACCUGGCAGGCAUGCUGGUACACAAGGCCUGCUGCACUGGGGCUCAGAGGGUCCCAGAUGACGGUUGACUUUGGACUUGAAUUUUUCCUGCAGCAGGAAAGUAAGCAAGCCAGACCAGUCCUGCUGGCCAAGGCCAGCCCUGGCCCCUUCAAGGAAGCCUGAACUGUCUUGAGGGAUCUCUGAGCUUUGGGGAACUUUGGGGGAAGUUGAUGAGGGUUGGGAGUUGCCCCAGGCUGGGUGUAGGGUGGGACCUGUCCCUCCUUCAUAACCCUUUGCUCUGGUCCUUAUGCCUGCUGAGCCCUGUCUUCCCAGCAGCUGGGCUGGGAAUCCUGGGGCAGAGGGACCUCCUCCUAUCCUCUUUGUGUCCACAGGCUCAUGUCUAAACAGGCAUUGGGCCAAGCCCCAGGUUUCUGCAGGAAAGACCGAGAGGAUCCCUCCAAUCCAAUUACUCAAAUGUGCCUGCAUCCGCCGGUGGCGCCGAGAUUGGGCCGGCCCAUUUCUGCCUGGAUGCCAGCCGCACAGGGGUUGGCAUAGCAACAUGAGCUCUGAUCUGCUGAAACUUGGAGUCAAUUCGUCACUGGGAGGACAGAAAGAAAGACUGAAGAGGACGCCUUUAAAAGUGAUGCGGGUCAGACAAAUCCAGGCUAAUCCCUGAAAUCCACAGAAAUGGGGUCUGGCAUUAACACGUGUGCCAUAGCAGCGACUCCCAGUGACACGGUGUGCCAGAUUUGGGUGUGUGAGACACGCUCCUCCACUGGCAUUCUACUCCACAAGAGGGAGUUCUGGACCGGAUCAGACCGCCAGCCCCCUGAUGGCUUUACUGCGCAGCUGUGUUUUCAAACUUUUAAACCAAGCAGCAGAACCUUUUCUUAAACAAUCUCACCCAGCACCUCUUUAUAUAAAACAAUAAUCAGCCUACAGGGGAGGCCUGGAGAGGCAACUCCCACCCCCUCCAGAAACCCCUAUCUUACCUGAGGAGGAGCCACUGGGACCCUCUUGAUCUUCGUCUGAAGAGGGGGCGCCACUGCAGUCAGGACCUGAAACGAGAUGAGCGGUUCACAGAGGUGUCCGGAACUCAACCGACAGCCAUCCAGCAGCCCAGAACAGGCUUUCACCCUCUUUGAAAAUAAGAUCACAUCAAGUCAAGGAUUCAAAAUGGGAAAAAUUCAAUCAGAGCCUCCCUCGGGCCAGCUACACAUCUCAAUACACUCGUCGGCCAGCAGAAUCGGCUCCCGCUACAACCCAGCUCAGCAUCAUCGUUCAAAACGCACCGGCAGGUCUUUGCUCACACUGUCCCAUCGCGCUGGAACCCCUGCUCACCUGGCCAGCUGCUCCUCCCCUUCGACCUGAGCCGCUGGAAAAGGAGGGCCCUACGUGGCAGUCCCUGGAUGAGAAAACCAUGUGUCAAAGCUGUUGCCGAAUCCCUCGCUCUAUUUUUACCUUCCUGACACUACCUCUUUGAGUCCUGAGGAGGGCUCCUGGCCUGAGGUGGCCCCAGCUGGCAUCUCCAAGGCCAGUGUGGCCAGCCCUCGCUUCGUUCUCCAGAAACCACCAAAAAGCCAGCUAUUCACUUCUCUUGAGCAGGAGUAAAUGCAUUAGACAAAUGUUCUCAGGCAAACGUAAAGGAUGUGAACACCAAAUUACUCCAUGAAUUACUUUUGUUUCCUUUCCUCCGUUCCAAUUUGGGUUGUUUUGUUGUUGUUGUUAUUGUUGUUCACAUCAGCACAACAAUUAAAGUUGGACGGUAAUUAAUGUUCUUAAAAUAGAACAUCCAUGUUCCCAAGUUUAGAAGGAAAAACCACCCGGGAGUGAAAGAACGUGGAUGUGUGUGACCUGCUGUUCCACUCACCACAGAACCUUUUCCGAGCCUCGGUGGGGAGCGCCUGUCAGGUGGGGUUUGUGGCAGGACACACCACGACGGACCACGUCUGCGGCCGUUUUUCAUUCCGUUCCCGGCUCAAGUUCAAGGAAACCUUUGACACCCGCGGCCAGGAGCUCUGGGGGUUCACCAACCUCUGAUUACAUUUCUUUUUUAAAAUAUUGAUGAACAGUCCCUCUAUCAUUUCGAAACGCUGAGGCUGCAGCUGUUGGCUCCGUGCAAGGCCUCCUCAGGCCGCAGAGCCUCUCCCGGCACCUCAAGGCUCUGGGACUCUCUUUCAAACACUGAGAGAAGAAAACGGUCCCUCUGGGUAGGGGAGGGGGAGGUCACUUCAGGAUCCAAAAUCAGGCCUGCCCAGGCUGCAGAUGCAGGUUGGGGCAGGGGCGCCCAUUCCUACUCCCACUGCCCCACAGCCUGACGCCCCACUGCACAUCUGGUCACCUUGUCCCUGACAUGUCUGCUGCCUGGGAUGGAGAAUAGUGGGACUGGAGAGGAUCACUGCCAGUCCCAUAAGGUCCAGAAGAGCUAAGUGCCAUCCACCCCACACAGAAACACCCACACAGAAGGGCCCUGCAGGCCCAGGCUGCCCCGGAGGAGCUGACUACCAUGUGGGGCUGGGUGGCGGUCCCCAUGCUCUGGGAGGACUCGGUGCCCAAUCAGCUGCUUCUUGCCCACGCUACCAGCUUGUCAUUGCCUGUCCCCAUUGACUGAGGACACCCCCAGCAGCCAGGUAUUGACAUGGCUUCUGUAGUGACCUUGUCUAGAGAAGAGCAUCUCUUUACAGAUGGGGUAUGUCAGUGAUGUCCAUGAUACCCUGAAGCUCCUGAGUGCGUGGGGCUGAGGCCAAGUUCCUGCCAUCAUCACACCUCUCCACUCUACAGCGCAGCAGAGCGGCUACUGUUGUCGCCAUUGUACAGACGCGGAAGCUGAAACUCUGAGAGAUGAAGCACACUGCCCAAGAUCACAGUGGAGGAGGUGGGAUUUGAACCCAGAUCCAUCUGACUCUGAAGCCAGAGCGCUUCUCCAUCUACCCUGCCACAGAGUCUCCCGCGCCCACCUCCUGCCCUUGACACGUGGCCUCUGGAAGGGGCCACCCUCAAAUACCUGCGCCAUGGCCCUGGGUAAGGGAGCUCUGUGGCGGUACCAGCAGCUGUGGCGCUUCUUGUCAAGUCCUGCCCAGCUCUGCCGGGGUGCCCCCUUAGUUGGAGGCCCUUGUUGACACGACCCAUUUGGACUGCAAUUUUAUAAGGUAAUUAUGGAUCAGUUUGGUGACCAUCAGGCCCUUCUGCUACAUCCUGGGAAAUGGACCUAACUCUGUUACAGGGUAAAUCAGAUAUAAUCAGCUCCUAAUUCAAUAUGGUGGCUCUAAGUAACAUUUAUCAAGAUACAGAAGCUGGUCCUGUGAGAUAGCCAACAGUGGUGGUUGGAUUAGACUCAGACAAGAAGAACCCAUUUGCUGACAGUUUUAAAAAUUGAGUGGAAGAGACAAACUUUUCCAGUACUGUACGUUAUUACAUACACUCGUGUGUUGCAGGCACAGACAAGGGCAUCUUUUGGAGUGGCCACCUGUACACCUCAGUCUCAUCCUGCCCGUGGCUCAUCCUUCAGAUCUUGACACAAGUGCCUGGACACCUGGAACACCUUCCUGUUCAAAAGCCAACCUGGGCGAUCAGAUGGUGGGCAGGGCUGGCUGUUGCUACCCCUUCUGUGCCCGAGGAUCCUAAAACUCUUAGCUACAGAGCUUAGGUAUAUUGGCAGACUUCCUCCCCAGCUCUGAGUGGGAUAGAAUUUCUCUUUUGAUUGGUGGUUUGGGAGUCACGUAGGCUAAAUAAUCAGAUUAUUGAUUGGGUGAUCGUGAUUGGAUCUGUUACUUUUUGUUUGUUUCUUUGAGAGAGAGAGAAUGAGUGGGGGAGAAGGGCAGAGAGAGAGAAUCUUAAGCAGACUCCACACUCAAAUGUGGGAUUCAAUCCCAUGACCCUGGGAUCAUGACCUGAGCUGAAAUCAGGAGUUGGAUGCUCAACCGACUGAGCCACCCAGGUACCCUGGAUCUGUUACUUUUGCAUCGGAUCGAACUUUAUGUUCCCACUUCCUUCCCAACUGCCAGCCGACAACAAGCAAGGCCCACACCAGACCCACACCAGACAGUUUUUGCAAACUUACGGAAGCAGUGGCCGCUAAGAGCCGACAAUGUUCCAUAGACUUCUACCCCAGCCUCCCCUAGCUGUAUGGGCCUGCCUUCCAGACCUCUGUGCAAGCUUCAACACCUCUUCACCCAUACUAGGGCUGGCUGGUGACCUUUGAUCCACCAAGUCCCUCGUUUGGACUCUCGCCCCCCUGUCCCCUCUCACAGUUGUUAAGGUCUAACUCCUGUAAUAAAUUCCUUAUUCCACCACA